UACAGGGGGUGCAAACGUUGCUCGGAAUUAUUGGGCGUAAAGCGCGCGUAGGCGGCUACUUAAGUCGGAUGUGAAAGCCCCUGGCUCAACUGGGGAAGUGCACCCGAAACUGAGUAGCUAGAGUGCAAAAGAGGGUCGCGGAAUUCCCGGUGUAGAGGUGAAAUUCGUAGAUAUCGGGAGGAACACCGGUGGCGAAGGCGGCGACCUGGGUAGAUACUGACGCUGAGGUGCGAAAGCGUGGGGAGCAAACAGG
rnacentral:rRNA from 1 species